GGAGAUGAUAAAGAACCUUCUUAAGAGUGGGGCAGAUUACAAAGUACAUUGAUCAGUUAGGGUGGGGCAGAAACAAAUGACAAUGGUGGAAUGUCUUCAGUUAAGGCUGUUUUCACUUCUGUGGAUCUUCAGUUGCUUCAGGCCAUCUGGAUGUAUACGUGCAGGUCACUGGGAUAUGAUGGCUUAGCUUGGACUCAGAGGCCUGACAUUCCUGUCUUCUUAUGUUAAUAAGAAAAAUAAAACAAAAUAGUGGUAAAGUGUUGGGGUGGCGAAAAUUUGUGGGGGUGAUAUGGAGAGAUAAUGGGCGAUGUUUCUCAGGGCUGCUUCGAGCGGGAUUAGGGGCGGCCUGGGAACCUACAGUGGGAGAGAUUCAACUGAAGAAAGAUUUUGGGGUAAGGGCUGAUACUGUGGGGUUGUUAGAAGGAGCAUUUGUCAUAUAGAAUUAUUGGUGAUGGCCUGAAUACGGUUUUGUAUGAAUUGAGAAACUAAACAGAAGACACACGGUCCGAAUAAGAGAAGGAGAAAAACAGGUAUUAAAGGACUAAGAAUUGGGAGGACCCAGGACAUCCAAUUAAGAGAGUGCCCAAGGGGGUUCAGCAUAAUUAUUUGCUUGGUUGGCAAGUUUUUGGACUCUAUCCUUGAGUUUUUUUAUGUUGUCAUAUACCAGGCCAGAUUGAUUUAGGUAAAAACAACACUCUUCAUUUAAAAAUAUACAGAGUCGUCCUUUUUCAGCAAUGAGUAAAUUGAGGCCUUGGCGAUUUUGGAGGAAAGAGAAUUG
rnacentral:lncRNA from 10 species